rnacentral:rRNA from 1 species
CAUGAAGCCGGAAUUGCUAGUAAUGGCAGGUCAGCAUACUGCCGUGAAUACGUUCCCGGGCCUUGUACACACCGCCCGUCACACCAUGAGAGUUGGAAAUACCCGAAGCCUGUGAGCUAACUUAAAGAGGCAGCAGUCGAAGGUAGAGCCAAUGAUUGGGGUGAAGUCGUAACAAGGUAGC